rnacentral:misc_RNA from 1 species
GAUGAAGAACGUAGCAAAAUGCGAUAAGUAAGGUGAAUUGCAGAAUUCAGUGAAUCAUCGAAUCUUUGAACGCACAUUGCGCCCGCCAGUAUUCUGGCGGGCAUGCCUGUUCGAGCGUCAUUUCAACCCUCAAGCACAGCUUGGUGUUGGGACUCGCGUUAAUUCGCGUUCCCCAAAUUGAUUGGCGGUCACGUCGAGCUUCCAUAGCGUAGUAGUAAAACCCUCGUUACUGGUAAUCGUCGCGGCCACGCCGUUAAACCCCAACUUCUGAAUGUUGACCUCGGAUCAGGUAGGAAUACCCGCUGAACUUAAGCAUAUCAAUAAGCGGAGGA